rnacentral:sRNA from 1 species
AGGGACCACGCGUAUACCGGUUCUGAGCGCGCCGCUCGCACUCUUGAUGAUCGCUCGCUACGUCGUGUCAGCC